rnacentral:rRNA from 1 species
UGAUAGUCUAGAGUGAGGGAGAGGCAGAUGGAAUUGGUGGUGUAGGGGUAAAAUCCGUAGAUAUCACCAAGAAUACCCAUUGCGAAGGCGAUCUGCUGGAACUCAACUGACGCUAAGGCGCGAAAGCGUGGGGAGCAAACAGGAUUAGAUACCCUGGUAGUCCACGCCCUAAACGAUGUACACUAGUUGUUGGGAUGCUAGUCAUCUCAGUAAUGCAGCUAACGCAUUAAGUGUACCGCCUGGGGAGUACGGUCGCAAGAUUAAAACUCAAAGGAAUAGACGGGGACCCGCACAAGCGGUGGAGCAUGUGGUUUAAUUCGAAGAUACGCGAAGAACCUUACCUGGGCUUGAUAUCCUAAGAACCUUAUAGAGAUAUGAGGGUGCUAGCUUGCUAGAACUUAGAGACAGGUGCUGCACGGCUGUCGUCAGCUCGUGUCGUGAGAUGUUGGGUUAAGUCCCGCAACGAGCGCAACCCACGUAUUUAGUUGCUAACGGUUCGGCCGAGCACUCUAAAUAGACUGCCUUCGUAAGGAGGAGGAAGGUGUGGACGACGUCAAGUCAUCAUGGCCCUUAUGCCCAGGGCGACACACGUGCUACAAUGGCAUAUACAAUGAGACGCAAUACCGCGAGGUGGAGCAAAUCUAUAAAAUAUGUCCCAGUUCGGAUUGUUCUCUGCAACUCGAGAGCAUGAAGCCGGAAUCGCUAGUAAUCGUAGAUCAGCCAUGCUACGGUGAAUACGUUCCCGGGUCUUGUACACACCGCCCGUCACACCAUGGGAGUUGAUUUC